rnacentral:tRNA from 1 species
UGGGGCGUCGCCAAGCCGGUUAAGGCACAGGACUUUGACUCCUGCAUCACGCUGGUUCAAAUCCAGCCGUCCCAGCCA